rnacentral:rRNA from 1 species
AGAGUUUGAUCCUGGCUCAGGAUGAACGCUAGCUACAGGCUUAACACAUGCAAGUCGAGGGGAAACGACAUCGAAAGCUUGCUUUUGAUGGGCGUCGACCGGCGCACGGGUGAGUAACGCGUAUCCAACCUGCCCACCACUUGGGGAUAACCUUGCGAAAGUCGGACUAAUACCGCAUGAAGCAGGGGCCCCGCAUGGGGAUAUUUGCUAAAGAUUCAUCGCUGAUAGAUAGGCAUGCGUUCCAUUAGGCAGUUGGCGGGGUAACGGCCCACCAAACCGACGAUGGAUAGGGGUUCUGAGAGGAAGGUCCCCCACAUUGGUACUGAGACACGGACCAAACUCCUACGGGAGGCAGCAGUGAGGAAUAUUGGUCAAUGGCCGAGAGGCUGAACCAGCCAAGUCGCGUGAGGGAUGAAGGUUCUAUGGAUCGUAAACCUCUUUUAUAAGGGAAUAAAGUGCGGGACGUGUCCCGUUUUGUAUGUACCUUAUGAAUAAGGAUCGGCUAACUCCGUGCCAGCAGCCGCGGUAAUACGGAGGAUCCGAGCGUUAUCCGGAUUUAUUGGGUUUAAAGGGUGCGUAGGCGGCCUUUUAAGUCAGCGGUGAAAGUCUGUGGCUCAACCAUAGAAUUGCCGUUGAAACUGGGGGGCUUGAGUAUGUUUGAGGCAGGCGGAAUGCGUGGUGUAGCGGUGAAAUGCAUAGAUAUCACGCAGAACCCCGAUUGCGAAGGCAGCCUGCCAAGCCAUGACUGACGCUGAUGCACGAAAGCGUGGGGAUCAAACAGGAUUAGAUACCCUGGUAGUCCACGCAGUAAACGAUGAUCACUAGCUGUUUGCGAUACACUGUAAGCGGCACAGCGAAAGCGUUAAGUGAUCCACCUGGGGAGUACGCCGGCAACGGUGAAACUCAAAGGAAUUGACGGGGGCCCGCACAAGCGGAGGAACAUGUGGUUUAAUUCGAUGAUACGCGAGGAACCUUACCCGGGUUUGAACGCAUUCGGACCGAGGUGGAAACACCUUUUCUAGCAAUAGCCGUUUGCGAGGUGCUGCAUGGUUGUCGUCAGCUCGUGCCGUGAGGUGUCGGCUUAAGUGCCAUAACGAGCGCAACCCUUGCCACUAGUUACUAACAGGUAAAGCUGAGGACUCUGGUGGGACUGCCAGCGUAAGCUGCGAGGAAGGCGGGGAUGACGUCAAAUCAGCACGGCCCUUACAUCCGGGGCGACACACGUGUUACAAUGGCGUGGACAAAGGGAGGCCACCUGGUGACAGGGAGCGAAUCCCCAAACCACGUCUCAGUUCGGAUCGGAGUCUGCAACCCGACUCCGUGAAGCUGGAUUCGCUAGUAAUCGCGCAUCAGCCAUGGCGCGGUGAAUACGUUCCUCGGGCCUUGCACUCACCGCCCGUCA